UUGCAGUUGAUACUGGAUAUCUUGAGUGCAGUUGAGGCAGGCGGAAUUCGUGGUGUAGCGGUGAAAUGCUUAGAUAUCACGAAGAACUCCGAUUGCGAAGGCAGCCUGCUAAGCUGCAACUGACAUUGAGGCUCGAAAGUGUGGGUAUCAAACAGGAUUAGAUACCCUGGUAGUCCACACGGUAAACGAUGAAUACUCGCUGUUUGCGAUAUACUGCAAGCGGCCAAGCGAAAGCGUUAAGUAUUCCACCUGGGGAGUACGCCGGCAACGGUGAAACUCAAAGGAAUUGACGGGGGCCCGCACAAGCGGAGGAACAUGUGGUUUAAUUCGAUGAUACGCGAGGAACCUUACCCGGGCUUAAAUUGCAGAUGAAUUACGGUGAAAGCCGUAAGCCGCAAGGCAUCUGUGAAGGUGCUGCAUGGUUGUCGUCAGCUCGUGCCGUGAGGUGUCGGCUUAAGUGCCAUAACGAGCGCAACCCUUGUUGUCAGUUACUAACAGGUUCCGCUGAGGACUCUGACAAGACUGCCAUCGUAAGAUGUGAGGAAGGUGGGGAUGACGUCAAAUCAGCACGGCCCUUACGUCCGGGGCUACACACGUGUUACAAUGGGGGGUACAGAGGGCCGCUACCACGCGAGUGGAUGCCAAUCCCCAAAACCUCUCUCAGUUCGGACUGGAGUCUGCAACCCGACUCCACGAAGCUGGAUUCGCUAGUAAUCGCGCAUCAGCCACGGCGCGGUGAAUACGUUCCCGGGCCUUGUACACACCGCCCGUCAAGCCAUGGGAGCCGGGGGUACCUGAAGUGCGUAACCGCGAGGAGCGCCCUAGGGUAAAACUGGUGACUGGGGCUAAGUCG
rnacentral:rRNA from 1 species